rnacentral:rRNA from 1 species
GACGAACGCUGGCGGCGUGCUUAACACAUGCAAGUCGAACGGAAAGGCCCGGCUUUUGUUUGUUUCUCGAUUGGCGAACGGGUGAGUAACACAUGAGUAACCUGCCCUUGACUUUGGGAUAACUUCAGGAAACUGGGGCUAAUACCCGAUAUGAUCUCCUGCUGCAUGGGGGUGGUUGGAAAGUGUCGGCGGUGGGGGAUGGACUCGCGGCUUAUCAGCUUGUUGGUGAGGUAGUGGCUUACCAAGGCUUUGACGGGUAGCCGGCCUGAGAGGGUGACCGGCCACAUUGGGACUGAGAUACGGCGCAGACUCCUACGGGCGGCAGCAGGGGGGAAUAUUGCAGAAUGGGCGGAAGCCUGAUGCAGAAACGCCGCGUGCGGGAUGACGGGUUUCGGGUUGUAAACCGAUUUCGCCUGUGCCGAAGAGUGCGUGACGGUAAUGGGUAAAGAAGCACCGGCUAACUACGUG